UACGUAGUUAGCCGUGGCUUUCUGAUUAGGUACCGUCAAGAUGUGCACAGUUACUUACACAUUUGUUCUUCCCUAAUAACAGAGUUUUACGAGCCGAAACCCUUCAUCACUCACGCGGCGUUGCUCCGUCAGGCUUUCGCCCAUUGCGGAAGAUUCCCUACUGCUGCCUCCCGUAGGAGUCUGGACCGUGUCUCAGUUCCAGUGUGGCCGAUCACCCUCUCAGGUCGGCUACGUAUCGUCGCCUUGGUAAGCCGUUACCUUACCAACUAGCUAAUACGGCGCGGGUCCAUCUAUAAGUGAUAGCAAAACCAUCUUUCACUUUAGAACCAUGCGGUUCUAAAUGUUAUCCGGUAUUAGCUCCGGUUUCCCGAAGUUAUCCCAGUCUUAUAGGUAGGUUACCCACGUGUUACUCACCCGUCCGCCGCUAACUUCAAAGGAGCAAGCUCCUUAUCUGUUCGCUCGACUUGCAUGUAUUAGGCACGCCGCCAGCGUUCAUCCUGAGCCAGGAUCAAACUCU
rnacentral:rRNA from 1 species